rnacentral:rRNA from 1 species
UACGUAGGUGGCAAGCGUUGUCCGGAAUUACUGGGUGUAAAGGGAGCGCAGGCGGGAAGCCAAGUCAGCUGUGAAAACUACGGGCUUAACUUGUAGACUGCAGUUGAAACUGGUUUUCUUGAGUGAAGUAGAGGUUGGCGGUAUUCCGAGUGUAGCGGUGAAAUGCGUAGAUAUUCGGAGGAACACCGGUGGCGAAGGCGGCCAACUGGGCUUUAACUGACGCUGAGGCUCGAAAGUGUGGGGAGCAAACAGG